AACGAGGUUAUAAAGUUCCAGACAGGAUGGUUUGUCACAGCAUAAGCUCCAGAGGCUUCGUUUGGCACUUUGCUGCGAGGGCUUGUCUUGGCCUGCUGUUGGACUUUUGGGAGGAUCAGUUUGGAUCUCUGUGCAGAAACAUGCCCCUCAGACGCACCAAGUAAGGGGGCGGAGCCAGUCACCGUGGUCUCUACACCUGAUUGGUUACAAACCGCGUCUGUGGAUUGGCUGGAGUGAUGCAUUCACACAACUACAGAAGCCCAUUUCCGCACUAAAGAAAGGGGAGAGAAAGAUCGACGGACCAGAUUCAGAUUGACGGACCGGUCUGCGGGCUGGACGCAUUGGUCUUAAUGUGCCGGUAAUGAUGAUCCUGUCAUCAACAAGAAAUCACCUCAUUCUCUUCACCUGGUCCUCAUGCCCUUCCCACCUGCAGCCCAUUCCCUCAUUAGCCCCUCACUAUUUAGGUCCCCACACUUCCGCUUGUCCUCUGCCAGAUUGUCUUGUGGGUAUGCCAAGUUUUCCAGCGGUUUCCAAUUACCAAUAUCCUGACCUAGCCGGCCUGCUUUUGACUACGAACUCUUCGCCCGCCCCCUUUUUUGGAUUUGUCCAAAAAACCCUGCCUAUCCUCGUUUACGGAGCCCCUGCCUGCCCCUCUGGAUUUGUUUGCCCAUUGGACUGCUAUCCUGGUUUUGACCCUGCCUGUAUAAGUAAAG
ensembl:lncRNA